UUUUUUAAGACAAAUAUCCUUUAAUGGUUGUAAAGAAAUUAAGUUUUUAAUUCUUUAAGAAAAGCUAUUCAACUUCAACCAAAUGAAAGGCCAAAAAAUAUAAAUACAAAACACCUUUUUCUGAGUAUUACAUACUGCUAAUUCAAAAAAACAAACAAAACAAAACAUGAAGCUGACAAAACAAGCCUCUUCCAGGCUCAGCUUGUUUCUGAUAACAGUGGCAUAAUCACCUUCUUUGACGACAGCAGGCUUGACACACAUAUUUUAAUGACAAAAUGCUAUUUCAUCAUUCAUUUUUAAAAGAAACAUUAAUAAUGCAGUUUCAUAAAAAUAAAUGAAAGUGAAGAUGCAUGCCAACACCAAUUUACAACUUUCCUCUGUUUAAUUAAUAUUGUUGCAUGUUUUAAUUUGAUGUGUGUUUUGCUCAUCAUCACGAAAUGUUUAAUUUAUAUAAAACUUCAUUCAAGAGUGCCUCCGGAGAAGCAACAAUUUAUUCUGGGCUACGUAUACAUAUUUUGAAUAAAGUAUUCAGUUCACAGAAGACUUUGUUGCAAGGAUCAUUCACAACUAAGUUGACCUCAAAAUGAUCCAUGCCUAUUUUAAAUAAAAAAAUUACUUAGAUAUAAUUGGCAGAAAACAAAAAAUGGGAUUACUCCCAGACUCUGAGUGAUCUCCAAUUCCUAUCAAUUCUACUUUCCUAUAUUAUUUGAAUCCACUUUCCAAAUGGUUUCAGUGACCACAUCUUUAUUCAAGAUCCUCAUCGCCCUUGCUCAGAUCAUAGCAGUAAUCACCUACCUGGUCUCCCUAGCUCUCUUUUCAUCCUUCUUUGCAAUAUAGUCAGAGUGGUCAGUUCAUUUAACUCAGCAGUUUCUACAUUCUCAUUUCUUUUUUACCUUUAGAAAGCACAAAUCUGGCAAUGUUAAUACCCUACAUAAAAUGUUCAAGUGACUCCUCUUUGUCAUUUCCCCCAACUCACCCUGCAUCCCAUAUAUUCUAUCUACAUGGUUCUAUUUGCAACUCUCCCAAGCUUUCAUAAGCUCUUUAUUCACUCUGCCUAUAAUAUUAUGCAAGACAACACCCCAUAUUCCUUCCAGUUCUGACUAACUCCUACUCAGCCACUUCUUUGUGAAAUCUCCCAUGAUAAGUGCCAUUCUUCUGACCUUUCCAAGAACUGCACUUAUAUGCGGUCCCUCACUAUUCCAUAAACUUCAGAGACUGGGACCUUGUUUAUUUGUAAUAAUCUGACCCAUUUACCAGGACACUACUAGAAAACAACAGUUCAAAAAUCCUUAUAAAUGUACUUUUAGUAAAUGUGAACUUGUUUUAUCUUGUGCAGACAAAUUAAAGUCUCCAGUUUUGGUUAUCCACACACAGAACACUGAAUAACUACUUUUAGGGGUUUUUUUGGGGGGGGGUAGGGGAAAUGGACACAAUGUCAGAAGUAGAAAACAGGGAGAAUGGUGGAUUUCUUCUACUGAACACUUUAUUAUCCCCAGGAGAAUAUUUGGGGAAAAUUCUGCCAAGUUACUAAGAUUUUAUUCCUCAGAAAUAGUUAAUUCCAUCAAAAUUUAUUGAGACCUUACUAUCUACCAGAUAUUCAGGGUGAAAAGAUCAUUAAGCUACCUCUGGGUCAAUCAGUUUCCUUCCAAUAUAUUAAAUUGAACCACAUGAAAUUGCCAUUUUCCUAAAUUGAAAAUACUUGAAGGUUGACAAUUUCAUAUGGUUCAAAGUAAUAUUAUGGAAAAUAUGUACAGAACUUACAAUAUCAAAACUAGAAAUUCUCAAGUCCUUGAAUAGACUGAGAAGUGCACUAAGAACAAAGAGGAGGAAAAACAAUGCUAAUUUGGAGCUGGAAUUCAGAAAAGCCACAAAUAAGCAGUACUUGAGCUAGAUCAUGAAGUAUUAGUACAAUUUCAACAGAUAAAUAUGGUGGAAAAGGCAUUCCAAUUAGAGGGUACAUUAGAACUUUUUUUUUAAGUAAAAUUUGGCAGGUCUCAUUAAGGCUAUUUUUGAUGAAACAAAUGUAAGUGUAUUUAAAUUAGGUCAACAAAAGGAGGCUGUAUCAUAUAACAUACACCCGCACAAAAUCCAAGAUAAGAAACAAAGCACAUCUGGGUGUGAAGGGAACUGGAACUGGAAAUUGGAAUAGUGGCUUUCUUCACCAUAUCCUGGGUAUCAAUCGCUCCAGAGCAGCCAGGGUUCCUGGGUUCAGAUUCCAGCUUACCCACUCCUUAGCUGUGUGACCUGAGGUAAGUCAUUUACCUUCCUUCUGCUUCAGUUUCUUCGUCUUAAAAAUAGUGAAAUAAAGUUGUGAGGAUUAAAUGAUGUCAACGUAUGAAAGGGGCUUAGAUAGUGCCAGGCCUAUAGUAAGUGCUACAUAAGGAUUUACUAGAAUUGCUUUCCCUGAGCUAGUCCAUUUUGCUUUUUUUUCUUCCGUUGACUGAAUUCUACCAACUUGUCUUGCUGUGACUCAACAUGAAAGUUUUCUGACUCCUCUCUACAGCGUGGAACUGCUUUCUGUCAAGAUACUGUAUUGGCCUGUAUUGGGUGAUAUGUGUGUAUCAGGAUGGCUUAUCAAGUGUGUAAAAAAGAGUAGGCAAGUUAAAGCCCAAUUCUGAGGGUGAUGACUAUCCUCAUAAGGAAUUUAGACUUCAUUCCAUGGGUAACGGGGAAGCAUGGAAGACUUUAAGGAAGACAGUGGGUUUUAAGAAGAAAAUUCUGAAAGCAGUGUGGAGAUAGAAAUAAAUGGUGCAGAGAUAGAAGAAUAUGAGAGGCAAGGAUACAGGACAUGAAUCUAGUGUGUGGUUUGACCAAAACAGUCUGCAUAGAGCAAUCAGUAAUCAUGGGGGAAACCAAGUUCUCUCACUUUACUUUUCUACAAGACAUGGGUUACUUAUAACUGAGUCUCAAAGAUAUUCCUCAUUUCCAAGAGGUAUAUGAAAAUACUUUAAUAUGUCCACUUCACCAGGAUUGCUAUAAAGAUCAAAUUGGACUAUAUAUAUAUACAUAUAAUAUAUAUAUGUAUAACUAUAUUUUAUAUGCAUAUAUAUAAAUAUAUAAUUUAUACCCAGUCAUGCACAUUUUGGCCGAUCACAGACUGAUAUACAACGGUGGUCCCAUAAGACUAGUACCAUAUAGCCUAGGUGUGGAAUAGGCUAUACCAUCCAGGUUUGUGUAUACUCUAUGCUGUUUGAACAAUGAUGAAAUCACCUAAGGACGCAGUUCUCAGAAUGUAAUUCCAUAGUUAAGAAAUACAUGACUCUAUAUAUAUAUAUAUCUGCAUUUUGAAGACUCUAAAGUAUAAGAUUGAAAGGCAUUUAUUAAUGUCAUUUACUAUCUAAAAUCGACUUUCCAAUAACAUCAGUUUCCAAGGAUAGUGUUUGCUCUGUAAUGUAUUCAAAAGCAGUAGCAGCCCAACCAUCACUUAUAUUUCUACACUUAAAACCUAAACCCAGGAGAUUUGUAGCACAAGUACUAGCUGAAAAUAAAUCUUCUACUUCUCAACAAAACUUUUCACUUUCUCUCUUCCAUUAUUGUGGUUGUACAUUUAUAUUCUCAAAAAACAGAUGAUUGAACUUGGCAGUAUGAAAAGAAAUAUUUUUUUUUUUUUUUAAAGAUUUUUUUUAUUUU
rnacentral:lncRNA from 1 species